UACGAAGGGAGCUAGCGUUGUUCGGAAUUACUGGGCGUAAAGCGCGCGCAGGCGGUCUUCCAAGUCAGUGGUGAAAGCCCGGAGCUCAACUCCGGAACUGCCAUUGAAACUGUUAGACUUGAGGAUGAGAGAGGUGAGUGGAAUUCCCAGUGUAGAGGUGAAAUUCGUAGAUAUUGGGAAGAACACCGGUGGCGAAGGCGGCUCACUGGCUCAUUUCUGACGCUCAGGCGCGACAGCGUGGGGAUCAAACAGG
rnacentral:rRNA from 1 species